rnacentral:rRNA from 1 species
GUCUACGAGUAUACCAUGAUCAAUGUGCCCAAUCUCGUCUGAUUUCAGAAGCUGAGCAAGGUUGGGCCUGCUUAGUACUUGGAUAAGAGAAAACAAAGCUAAUGUUUGCA